AUACGGAGGGGGCUAGCGUUGUUCGGAAUUACUGGGCGUAAAGGGCGCGUAGGCGGCCCAUAAAGUCAGACGUGAAAGCCCCGGGCUCAACCUGGGAACUGCGCUUGAUACGUGUGGGCUAGAGUCCGGGAGAGGAUGGUGGAAUUCCCAGUGUAGAGGUGAAAUUCGUAGAUAUUGGGAAGAACACCGGUGGCGAAGGCGGCCAUCUGGACCGGUACUGACGCUAAGGCGCGAAAGCGUGGGGAGCAAACAGGAUUAGAAACCCCAGUAGUCC
rnacentral:rRNA from 1 species